rnacentral:rRNA from 1 species
AUUGAACGCUGGCGGCAGGCCUAACACAUGCAAGUCGGACGGUAGCACAGAGGAGCUUGCUCCUCGGGUGACGAGUGGCGGACGGGUGAGUAAUGUCUGGGGAUCUGCCCGAUAGAGGGGGAUAACCACUGGAAACGGUGGCUAAUACCGCAUAACGUCGCAAGACCAAAGAGGGGGACCUUCGGGCCUCUCACUAUCGGAUGAACCCAGAUGGGAUUAGCUAGUAGGCGGGGUAACGGCCCACCUAGGCGACGAUCCCUAGCUGGUCUGAUAGGAUGACCAGCCACACUGGAACUGAGACACGGUCCAGACUCCUACGGGGGGCAGCGGUGGGGAAUAUUGCACAAUGGGCGCAAGCCUGAUGCAGCCAUGCCGCGUGUAUGAAGAAGGCCUUCGGGUUGUAAAGUACUUUCAGCGGGGAGGAAGGCGAUGUGGUUAAUAACCGCGUCGAUUGACGUUACCCGCAGAAGAAGCACCGGCUAACUCCGUGCCAGCCGCCGCAGUAA